rnacentral:rRNA from 1 species
CAAUGGACGAAAGUCUGAUGGAGCAACGCCGCGUGAGUGAAGAAGGGUUUCGGCUCGUAAAGCUCUGUUGGUAGUGAAGAAAGAUAGAGGUAGUAACUGGCCUUUAUUUGACGGUAAUUACUUAGAAAGUCACGGCUAACUACGUGCCAGCAGCCGCGGUAAUACGUAGGUGGCAAGCGUUGUCCGGAUUUAUUGGGCGUAAAGCGAGUGCAGGCGGUUCAAUAAGUCUGAUGUGAAAGCCUUCGGCUCAACCGGAGAAUUGCAUCAGAAACUGUUGAACUUGAGUGCAGAAGAGGAGAGUGGAACUC